GGUAACAUCUGAAAAGUAGUGUUUUUUGUGGUUUUUUUUUGUUUGUUUUAUAGUCUUCUAAUAAAUGUCUUAUGUCUUCAAAUUUUUGAAAAUUAACUUCAACUCACAUUGCUCUUACUAUUUCUUAAAGUUAAUCAAAAAUAGUGAAAUAUUUAAAUUCCCAUUCAUGCUUCUGAAACUGAAAUCAGUGAUUAUAUGUGAUUUAAAUUUGAAUACACUCUGGUUGCUACCACCUUUAAGUCAAAUUAAAAGUUAAUAUGUUCUUGUGCUUAGCAAUUAAAGUUGCUAUUCUUGUUUGUUAAUUUGAAUCACUUGAUCAAAAACAAAUUGUGUAACGAGGUAAACUUCUUUAAUAUUGUCCCCUAAUUUGCUGUCCUCUGUUGUUACCUCAGACAUUGUAAAGCUGUACAGUUAUGGCGACCCCAAAGAGAAAGCAUGAAAGAACCGUUAGAGUAGAGUUCAACACUUAAGGCAAGUAGACAAGCCAAAGACCUCUUAAGGAUCAGGCUUGAAGAGAAGGGAUGAGUUUGGGAAAAGAAAAAAUAAAGAAAAGCUGGAAGAAGGACAAGCCUAAUGGGAGACAAAGCCUCGCUUUACCUACAAAAGGGGGAAAAGGUUGUUUUCCAAAGUUAAAGAUAAAGCCAUCUGUCAUAUUUGGCCAAGCAUCUCAUGACAAGUCCUUCUGACAAGCACUUAAAGAGUUAAAGGUCAAGAUGAAGUUCAAUGAUGGCCAAGAUUAAAGGAGUCAUACCUGAUUGACCCAGUGCAAACAGCUGUAUGAAAUAGUACUAGACUCAGCAGGAUGCACAGCAAAAUAAGCUUGAAGUCACUAUUUCCGUCUCUUAAGGUAAGGCACAUUUUGCUUGCUUUCACAAGAACUAUUGGCAUUUCCUUUUUAUUUGAAACAAGUAUGUGGGCAACAGUAUAUUUGUUUUUAUUUUAAGAAUCUUUUUGACUUUCAACAUAGACUUGACUGAUUUUUAAUUUUGUUUUGUGAAGUUAAUUCUAAAUACUUGGGAAAUAGACUUUGUUAUAACUUGGUGAUUUAGUUAUAACAUCUUAUUUCAGUAAUAAUUUUAUAGUAUGUUUUCCAAAAACUACA